UCGCCUGUUUAUCAAAAACAUGGUUUCUUGAUAAAAUAGGAGAUUUGACCUGCCCACUGAGGAAAAUUAUAUUUGAAGGGCCGCAGUAUUUUGACUGUGCAAAGGUAGCAUAAUCAUUAGUCUUUUAAUUGAAGGCUGGUAUGAAUGGUUGGACGAGGUAAACACUGUCUUACAUUAAUUAUUAUUGAAAUUAGAAGUUGGGUAAAAAUACCUAAAUUAUAUUAGGGGACGAGAAGACCCUAUAGAGUUUAAUAAAGUUACUGGUUUAGUCAAGUUUAUUUAAAAUUUUUGGUUAAUUUAGAGGUUUAUUUAGUUGGGGUGACUUAAAGAUAUAAAAAACUCUUUAUGAUAAUUAAUUAUACUAAUUAAUUUUGUGAUCCAUAAUUAUUGUGAUUAAAAGAUUAAAUUACCUUAGGGAUAACAGCAUAAUUCUUUUUAAGAGUUCAUAUCGAAAAAGGAGAUUGUGACCUCGAUGUUGGAUUAAGAUGAAUAUUAGGUGUAGAUGUUUAAUUAUUAGGUCUGUUCGACCUUUAAUUUCUUACAUGAUCUGAGUUCAAACCGGAGA
rnacentral:rRNA from 1 species